CUCAAAUGAAUUGACGGGGGCCCGCACAAGCGGUGGAGCAUGUGGUUUAAUUCGAUGCAACGCGAAGAACCUUACCUACUCUUGACAUCCAGAGAACUUUCCAGAGAUGGAUUGGUGCCUUCGGGAACUCUGAGACAGGUGCUGCAUGGCUGUCGUCAGCUCGUGUUGUGAAAUGUUGGGUUAAGUCCCGCAACGAGCGCAACCCUUAUCCUUGUUUGCCAGCGAGUAAUGUCG
rnacentral:rRNA from 1 species